GGUUAAGCGACUAAGCGUACACGGUGGAUGCCUAGGCAAUCAGAGGCGAUGAAGGACGUGCUAAUCUGCGAUAAGCGUCGGUAAGGUGAUAUGAACCGUUACAACCGACGAUUUCCGAAUGGGGAAACCCAGUGCAAUUCGUUGCACUAUCGUUUGAUGAAUACAUAGUCAAACGAAGCGAACCGGGGGAACUGAAACAUCUCAGUACCCCGAGGAAAAGAAAUCAACCGAGAUUCCCCUAGUAGCGGCGAGCGAACGGGGAGCAGCCCAGAGUCUUAAUCAGCAUUAGCAUCAGGAGAACGGUCUGGAAAGUCCGGCAGUAAAGGGUGAUAGCCCCGUAUCCGAAGGUGUUAGUGUUGUGAACUCGACGAGUAGGGCGGGACACGUGUUAUCCUGUCUGAAUAUGGGGGGACCAUCCUCCAAGGCUAAAUACUCCUGAUUGACCGAUAGUGAACCAGUACCGUGAGGGAAAGGCGAAAAGAACCCCGGCGAGGGGAGUGAAAUAGAACCUGAAACCGUGUACGUACAAGCAGUGGGAGCCUUGAUUUAUCAGGGUGACUGCGUACCUUUUGUAUAAUGGGUCAGCGACUUAUAUUCUGUAGCAAGGUUAACCGUAUAGGGGAGCCGUAGGGAAACCGAGUCUUAACUGGGCGAAUAAGUUGCAGGGUAUAGACCCGAAACCCGGUGAUCUAGCCAUGGGCAGGUUGAAGGUUGGGUAACACUAACUGGAGGACCGAACCGACUAAUGUUGAAAAAUUAGCGGAUGACUUGUGGCUGGGGGUGAAAGGCCAAUCAAACCGGGAGAUAGCUGGUUCUCCCCGAAAGCUAUUUAGGUAGCGCCUCGUGAACUCAUCUUCGGGGGUAGAGCACUGUUUCGACUAGGGGGUCAUCCCGACUUACCAACUCGAUGCAAACUACGAAUACCGAAGAAUGUUAUCACGGGAGACACACGGCGGGUGCUAACGUUCGUCGUGAAGAGGGAAACAACCCAGACCGCCAGCUAAGGUCCCAAAGUCAUAGUUAAGUGGGAAACGAAGUGGGAAGGCUCAGACAGCCAGGAUGUUGGCUUAGAAGCAGCCAUCAUUUAAAGAAAGCGUAAUAGCUCACUGGUCGAGUCGGCCUGCGCGGAAGAUGUAACGGGGCUAAACUAUGCACCGAAGCUGCGGCAGCGAUAUGUAAAUAUUGUUGGGUAGGGGAGCGUUCUGUAAGCCUGUGAAGGUGUGCUGUGAGGCAUGCUGGAGGUAUCAGAAGUGCGAAUGCUGACAUAAGUAACGAUAAUGCGGGUGAAAAACCCGCACGCCGGAAGACCAAGGGUUCCUGUCCAACGUUAAUCGGGGCAGGGUGAGUCGACCCCUAAGGCGAGGCAGAAAUGCGUAGUCGAUGGGAAACGGGUUAAUAUUCCCGUACUGGUGAUAAUUGCGAUGGGGGGACGGAGAAGGCUAGGCUAUCCGGGCGACGGUUGUCCCGGUUUAAGGAUGUAGGCAGGUGAAUUAGGCAAAUCCGGUUCACUAUAUGCUGAGGUCCGAUGACGAGUCACUACGGUGAUGAAGUAGCUCAUGCCCCGCUUCCAGGAAAAGCCUCUAAGCUCUAGAUUAUCAUUAAUCGUACCCCAAACCGACACAGGUGGUCAGGUAGAGAAUACUCAGGCGCUUGAGAGAACUCGGGUGAAGGAACUAGGCAAAAUGGUGCCGUAACUUCGGGAGAAGGCACGCUGGCAUUAGGUGAAGUGAUUUACUCAUGGAGCUGAAGCCAGUCGCAGAUACCAGCUGGCUGCAACUGUUUAUUAAAAACACAGCACUGUGCAAACACGAAAGUGGACGUAUACGGUGUGACGCCUGCCCGGUGCUGGAAGGUUAAUUGAUGGGGUUAUCCGUAAGGAGAAGCUUUUGAUCGAAGCCCCAGUAAACGGCGGCCGUAACUAUAACGGUCCUAAGGUAGCGAAAUUCCUUGUCGGGUAAGUUCCGACCUGCACGAAUGGCGUAAUGAUGGCCAGGCUGUCUCCACCCGAGACUCAGUGAAAUUGAACUCGCUGUGAAGAUGCAGUGUACCCGCGGCAAGACGGAAAGACCCCGUGAACCUUUACUAUAGCUUGACACUGAACAUUGAGCCUUGAUGUGUAGGAUAGGUGGGAGGCUUUGAAGCGUGGACGCCAGUCUGCGUGGAGCCAACCUUGAAAUACCACCCUUUAAUGUUUGAUGUUCUAACGUUGCCCCAUUAUCUGGGGUGCGGACAGUGUCUGGUGGGUAGUUUGACUGGGGCGGUCUCCUCCCAAAGAGUAACGGAGGAGCACGAAGGUUGGCUAAGCAUGGUCGGACAUCAUGCGGUUAGUGCAAAGGCAUAAGCCAGCUUGACUGCGAGAGUGACGGCUCGAGCAGGUACGAAAGUAGGUCUUAGUGAUCCGGUGGUUCUGAAUGGAAGGGCCAUCGCUCAACGGAUAAAAGGUACUCCGGGGAUAACAGGCUGAUACCGCCCAAGAGUUCAUAUCGACGGCGGUGUUUGGCACCUCGAUGUCGGCUCAUCACAUCCUGGGGCUGAAGUAGGUCCCAAGGGUACGGCUGUUCGCCGUUUAAAGUGGUACGCGAGCUGGGUUUAGAACGUCGUGAGACAGUUCGGUCCCUAUCUGCCGUGGGCGUUGGAAGAUUGAAAGGGGCUGCUCCUAGUACGAGAGGACCGGAGUGGACGCACCACUGGUGUUCGGGUUGUCAUGCCAAUGGCAUUGCCCGGUAGCUAAGUGCGGAAGAGAUAACCGCUGAAAGCAUCUAAGCGGGAAACUUGCCUUGAGAUGAGUCUUCCCUGACUCUUUAAGGGUCCUAAAGGAACGUUUAAGACUAAGACGUUGAUAGGUUGGGUGUGUAAGCGUAGCGAUACGUUGAGCUAACCAAUACUAAUGAACCGUGAGGCUUAACCUG
rnacentral:rRNA from 1 species